UAAAGAUUCAUCGCUGAUAGAUAGGCAUGCGUUCCAUUAGGCAGUUGGCGGGGUAACGGCCCACCAAACCGACGAUGGAUAGGGGUUCUGAGAGGAAGGUCCCCCACAUUGGUACUGAGACACGGACCAAACUCCUACGGGAGGCAGCAGUGAGGAAUAUUGGUCAAUGGGCGUAAGCCUGAACCAGCCAAGUCGCGUGAGGGAUGAAGGUUCUAUGGAUCGUAAACCUCUUUUAUAAGGGAAUAAAGUGUGGGACGUGUCCUAUUUUGUAUGUACCUUAUGAAUAAGCAUCGGCUAACUCCGUGCCAGCAGCCGCGGUAAUACGGAGGAUCCGAGCGUUAUCCGGAUUUAUUGGGUUUAAAGGGUGCGUAGGCGCCCUUUUAAGUCAGCGGUGAAAGUCUGUGGCUCAACCAUAGAAUUGCCGUUGAAACUGGGGGGCUUGAGUAUGUUUGAGGCACGCGGAAUGCGUGGUGUAGCGGUGAAAUGCUUAGAUAUCACGCAGAACCCCGAUUGCGAAGGCAGCCUGCCAAGCCAUGACUGACGCUGAUGCACGAAAGCGUGGGGAUCAAACAGGAUUAGAUACCCUGGUAGUCCACGCAGUAAACGAUGAUCACUAGCUGUUUGCGAUACAGUGUAA
rnacentral:rRNA from 1 species